UUUACGCGAAAGACCUUACCAGGUCUUGAGAUCCGGAUGAAGGGCGGGUAAAGCCGCCGGCUCUUCGGAGCAUCCGAGACAGGUGGUGCAUGGUUGUCGUCAGCUCGUGUCGUGAGAUGUUGGGUCAAGUCCCGCAACGAGCGCAACCCUUGCGGCCAGUAGCCAGCGAGUAAAGUCGGGCACUCUGGCAGGACUGCCGGGGACAACCCGGAGGAAGGUGGGGAUGACGUCAAAUCAUCAUGCCCCUUAUGACCUGGGCUACACACGUGCUACAAUGGCGCACACAGAGGGAAGCGAACCUGAGAAGGGGAGCAAAUCCCAAAAAAGGCGUCCCAGUUCGGACUGCAGUCUGCAACCCGACUGCACGAAGCUGGAAUCGCUAGUAAUCGCAGAUCAGAAUGCUGCGGUGAAUACGUUCCCGGGUCUUGUACACACCGA
rnacentral:rRNA from 1 species